UACGAAGGGGGCGAGCGUUAUUCGGAAUCACUGGGCGUAAAGCGUGCGUAGGCUGCUUGGAAAGUUGGAAGUGAAAGCCCAGGGCUCAACCCUGGAAUUGCUUUCAAAACUACCAGGCUCGGAUUCGGGAGAGGAUAGCGGAAUUGUCAGUGUAGCAGUGAAAUGCGUAGAUAUUGACAGGAACACCAGUGGCGCAAGCGGCUAUCUGGACCGACAUCGACGCUGAGGCACGAAAGCGUGGGGAUCAAAC
rnacentral:rRNA from 1 species